rnacentral:lncRNA from 1 species
CAACGCAGAAAGACUUUAGUUUUAGUUUGUUUUUAAAAUUUUGUUGGUUGAUAUCAAGUAUAAUUUGAACUUUCCACAUAUCUACAAUAUGGAUAAAGUAAAGGAAAUUUUAUUCAGAAGUUCAGAGUGACACAUCAAAGAACCGCACGUACUAAUUACAUAAGCGUCCCAACCAGAGAAGAAGAAGGAACGACACCAGUAACCAGUUAUUUUAAUGAAUGAUAGACGGGCAAGGCGAAAGGCGAGCCAUCAUAAAUAUCCACACGUCGAUGUAAAAAAAUCAAUUUCGCAAGGAAGAAGGAAACAAGAGCGAAAUGCAUGAAGCUAUAACCCUUCGGCAACAAUAAGUUAGAACAAACACGUCAUCCUAGAUGGAAUUGCAAAAACAAACUAUUCUAGAAACAGAUAUAAAUUCAGAAUUCAGGGUGGGUCUUGCACUUUCUGCAAUAACAAGAUCAAAAUCUGGUUUUUCUGGUUGAAAAUGAUUUUAUCUUCAUGGAUAAUGAAUCUGAUUUGAGGGCGUGAUUCAAUGGUCAAUUUUUAUUUUUACUUAAUGGUAACAGAACAGCAUGGAAAAAAUACACUGCACCCUGUAUAUUUUAAUAAUGGUUGUUUAAAAUUAGCGGAUUUUAAAAAUUCUUGGAUUCUAGAAAGGAAUAUAUUAGGUAAGAAUGCUUUUAUAAUUGAUGAAUAAACAAAAUAAAAAAUAAAAAAA